rnacentral:rRNA from 1 species
UACGAAGGGGGCUAGCGUUGCUCGGAUUGACUGGGCGUAAAGGGCGCGUAGGCGGUUCGUACAGUCAGACGUGAAAUUCCUGGGCUCAACCUGGGGGCUGCGUUUGAUACGUGCGGACUUGAGUGCGGAAGAGGGUCGUGGAAUUCCCAGUGUAGAGGUGAAAUUCGUAGAUAUUGGGAAGAACACCGGUGGCGAAGGCGGCGACCCGGUCCGAUACUGACGCUGAGGCGCGAAAGCGUGGGGAGCAAACAGG